ACGGCUCAGUAACACGUGGAUAACCUGCCCUAAGGAAGGGGAUAACCUCGGGAAACUGAGGAUAAUACCCUAUAGGUUACAGACGCUGGAAUGCCCUGUAACCGAAAGCUCCGGCGCCUUAGGAUGGAUCUGCGGCCGAUUAGGUUGUUGUUGGGGUAACGGCCCAACAAGCCGAUAAUCGGUACGGGUUGUGGGAGCAAGAGCCCGGAGUUGGAUUCUGAGACACGAAUCCAGGCCCUACGGGGCGCAGCAGGCGCGAAAACUUUACAAUGCGGGAAACCGUGAUAAGGGAACCUCGAGUGCCUGUAUAUGCAGGCUGUCCAGGUGUCUAAAAAACACCUGAAGAAAGGGCCGGGCAAGACCGGUGCCAGCCGCCGCGGUAAUACCGGCGGCUCGAGUGGUGGCCACUUUUAUUGGGCUUAAAGCGUUCGUAGCUGGGUUGUUAAGUCUCUUGGGAAAUCUGACGGCUCAACCGUCAGGCGUCCAAGGGAUACUGGCAAUCUUGGAACCGGGAGAGGUGAGGGGUACUUCGGGGGUAGGAGUGAAAUCCUGUAAUCCUCGAGGGACCACCUGUGGCGAAGGCGCCUCACCAGAACGGCUUCGACAGUGAGGGACGAAAGCUGGGGGAGCAAACCGGAUUAGAUACCCGGGUAGUCCCAGCCCUAAACGAUGCGCGUUAGGUGUAUCGGUGACCACGAGUCACCGAGGUGCCGAAGGGAAACCGUGAAACGUGCCGCCUGGGAAGUACGGUCGCAAGGCUGAAACUUAAAGGAAUUGGCGGGGGAG
rnacentral:rRNA from 1 species